rnacentral:rRNA from 1 species
UAGUAACUGCGAGUGAAGAGGGAAAAGCUCAAAUUUAAAAUCUGGCGGGCUCUGUCCGUCCGAGUUGUAAUCUGGAGAAGCGUUUUCCGCGUCGGACCGUGCAUAAGUCUCCUGGAACGGAGCGUCAUAGAGGGUGAGAAUCCCGUCCAUGGCACGGACCGCCGAUGCUUUGUGAUACGUUUUCAAAGAGUCGAGUUGUUUGGGAAUGCAGCUCAAAAUGGGUGGUAAAUUCCAUCUAAAGCUAAAUAUUGGCGAGAGACCGAUAGCGAACAAGUACCGUGAGGGAAAGAUGAAAAGCACUUUGGAAAGAGAGUUAAACAGUACGUGAAAUUGUUGAAAGGGAAACGCUUGAAGUCAGUCGCGUCCGACGGAACUCAGCCUUGCUUCGGCCUGGUGUACUUUCUGUCGGACGGGUCAACAUCAGUUUUGACCGGUGGAGAAAGGUAGGGGGAAUGUAGCGCUGUUUCGGCGGCGUGUUAUAGCCYCUUGCUGYAUGCAUCGGUUGGGACUGAGGACCGCAGCACGCCUUUUUGGCCGGGGGUUCGCCCCACGUACCGUGCUUAGGAUGUUGGCAUAAUGGCUUUAAGCGACCCGUCUUGAAACACGGACCAAGGAGUCCAACAUGCUUGCGAGUGUUCGGGUGGAAAACCCUUGCGCGUAAUGAAAGUAACAGUUGGGAACCUCCGCAAGGGGGUGCACCGACGCCCGGCCCUGAAGUUCUCUGACGGUGCUGCGGUAGAGCAAGUAUGCUGGGACCCGAAAGAUGGUGAACUAUGCCUGAAUAGGGCGAAGCCAGAGGAAACUCUGGUGGAGGCUCGUAGCGAUUCUGACGUGCAAAUCGAUCGUC